rnacentral:rRNA from 6 species
CCCCGGUAAACGGCGGCCGUAACUAUAACGGUCCUAAGGUAGCGAAAUUCCUUGUCGGGUAAGUUCCGACCUGCACGAAUGGCGUAAUGAUGGCCAGGCUGUCUCCACCCGAGACUCAGUGAAAUUGAACUCGCUGUGAAGAUGCAGUGUACCCGCGGCAAGACGGAAAGACCCCGUGAACCUUUACUAUAGCUUGACACUGAACAUUGAGCCUUGAUGUGUAGGAUAGGUGGGAGGCUUUGAAGUGUGGACGCCAGUCUGCAUGGAGCCGACCUUGAAAUACCACCCUUUAAUGUUUGAUGUUCUAACGUGGACCCGUAA